UACGUAGGGGGCAAGCGUUGUCCGGAUUUAUUGGGCGUAAAGAGCGUGUAGGCGGCCAGAUAGGUCAGCUGUGAAAACUCGAGGCUCAACCUCGAGACGUCGGUUGAAACCAUCUGGCUAGAGUCCGGAAGAGGAGAGUGGAAUUCCCGGUGUAGCGGUGAAAUGCGCAGAUAUCGGGAAGAACACCCGUGGCGAAGGCGGCUCUCUGGGACGGUACUGACGCUGAGACGCGAAAGUGUGGGGAGCGAACAGG
rnacentral:rRNA from 1 species